CGCCGUUGCCGGCAGGCCUCUGGUGUGUGCUGAUGGUGGUGGGCAGGUCUGGACGUAGAAGAUGCCUUGCCCACGUAAAAGGAGGAGAGAAAGCAGAAUUCUGUCUUCAAUUAGCUUGGUGGACAGACAGCCUGUGUGCUCCUUUCUGAGAGAUUCAGGUUAAAACUGGAGUCAGACCAUCUGUGUUCAAAUCCCAGCUGGGCUGCUCCUCACUUUGUACUUUUCCCAGGCUUGUUGUAUGGCUGAAAUGUGGCAGUGCCGGGAGAGGCCUGAGGAGGGCAGGACAUGUGAGUCCAGAGCCCCAGUGUGCUACAAGAGAACAGUGCUCAGUCAUCUACAGUAUCCAACCCCCUGCUGUGGGGGCAGCUCAGGCAGAGGUCUUUAUGCCUCUUUGCAAAUGGAGUCUAGCACGAAGGAAUGCAACUGCAGCCAUCCUGAUCAGAGACCCCUCUAAACUACCCCUCCCUGCUCAGCUGCACCUGAAGACUCAACACUGUCAGCCCUGCUACUGAUAGCCGCUGCUACUCCCUGUGCUUUCCCAAGUCUUGUCCUUGGGCAACCAUUACUACUCUCUCAAGCCUCUGUGCUCUCUCAAGCCUUGUUCUUGGCAGGUACCCACAACCCCCUCUCACUGAGCUCCUCCCUCCGCAUGAGAGUUAGGGUCUGGUCUCUAGUGCCAGAGUGGUCCCCUUCAGGUUUGUUCUGCAAUAAAUCUGUCCAGUUGAGCUCGU
rnacentral:lncRNA from 1 species